GAGGGCAUAGCUCAGUGGUAGAGUGUGUGCCUAGCAUCACAAGAUCCUGGGUUCAAUCCCCAGUAUCUCCC
rnacentral:tRNA from 1 species